AGAAAGGACAAAAAGAAGAAAAGGAGAAGAAAAUUUCAUUUUCUCUUUUCUUCUUCUUCUUCUCUUCCCUUCACCGCCAAGAGUUUGAAGACAUCCAAGUUCCCUUUAUUUUUUUUUCUUUUUCCUUCUUCAAUUUGCAGAGAACUUCUAAGAGAGAGUUUGGAAGAAGAAGAGAAAUUUUACUAGAAUUUUUAGGUUGAAGAAGAGGAGGAGAACUCAAGCAAAGUGUAUCAAUGGCUGAAUUUUAGUUCAUUCUGCACAUCACUGGUUUUUAAUUCGGUUUGAACUCUUCAAAAGGAAUUAAGAGGGCAGUUGGUUUUCACUCGAAAUCAGGAGGUCUCUGGUUUUUCUUGUAUGUCAGAGUGAAUCGGUGGAGUUAGAAUCUCUAUUUGGAACAAGUUAAAGAGGUCGUGUGCGCGCGAUUCUGGAAGUGGUUCUAUUUUGAGGGUUAUAUGUGUUUAUGCACGGGGAAUCAGAUUUAUAUGUCUUCAGGCUGAGAAGAAUUAAACCGAGCUUAUAGACCAAGGAUCUAGCCCAAGACUGUAGAGAUCGACUUCCCGGUGCCUGAUAGACUGCCUUAGUCUGCGGAAGCUUCAUUAUCGAUUGCCAGUACGUGUUUUGAGUUGGGCAUAAAGUCUGUUGUGUUGUGAUGUAUUCACACCCUUGUAUGUUAUAGAUACUCCACAGUUUGUAUAAGCUUUAGGAGCUGUAGUUGUGUAAAUUUUGUUGGUUAUAUUUUGAUUAAGGUGUCUUUAGGUUUACUCGUGAAAUCGGUAAAUUUUGAGGUACACUUCAUGUAUGUGUUUGACUAGCUGUGUUUGACUAGCCUAGGAUCCGCUGUGUUUUGUGGCAUGUACAAUAGUUUAUAUACUAGAUUGGCAAGUUCAUCACAUGAAAGUUUUAAGCAGAGUUGACAGAUACAGGUACAGAAAAA